rnacentral:lncRNA from 1 species
CUAACGAAAGGGGCCGGUGCUGUGGCAUAGUAGGUUAAGCCUCUGCCUGUGGCACUGGCAUCCCAUACGGGCACCAAUUGGAGUUCCGGCUGCUCCAGUUCUGAUCCAGCUCUCUGCUAUGGCCUGGGAAAGCAGUGGAAGAUGGCCCAAGUGCUUGGGCUUCUGUACGCACCUGGGAGACCUGGAAGCAGCUCCUGGCUCCUGGCUUUGGCCUGGCACAGUCCUGGUCUUGCGGCCAUCUGAGGAGUGAACCAGCGGAUGGAAGACCUCUCUCUCUCUCUCUCUACCUCUCUAACUCUGCCUCUCAAAUAAAUAAAAAUCUUAAAAAAAAAAAAAGCUAACGAAAGUUUUCAAAACAUCUUUCUACAGAAAUCCAAGAAUGUGGCCAGUUUACAAGAGCUGCCUAUGAUCAUCAUAGGGGCCAUUGCUCUUUCUCGAUUGUCUUUGACUGGAAGCCUCCCGUCUAUUUCACUAUCUCUUCCCACCACCAGAUGGUGGAAAGCGAAAAGGAAACAGUGGCCAGUCUAUGAAUGUGGCGGCAGCCAGGCAGUGGAUCGAUGGCGCAAGAUGUGGUGGGGACUGGAGCUUCUGAGUUGCCCAGGUAUUCCCACGCAUUCCGUUUUCAUUUUAGCGCCCGCUCGAGGGCCAGCUGUCCAGGCCUGGGCGUCAGCAUGGCACAUGGACGCCUGUGUGUGUGUGGGGGGGGCGGGGGGAGUUGGUGGGCGGCAGCCCUUGUGUCAGGGCUGGUAACAUUAUUAAGCCAACGAAGGCCACCUGGCCCAGGUGCGGGGUCAGGAAGGUCUUUGCGAGGGUCCCGCCGCGUCCUCCUCUAGUCUUGCCCCGCGUGCGGCCUCCGCCUCCUACGUGCGGAACUCGCACCCGGCCGGCCGCGGUUCCCACGCUGCACCAAGGGGCCCUUUCUCCAUCCCUCUCACUGUGAGGCCUUAGCCGGGAUUGCCAGGAACCUGCGAACGCUCUCAGCAGGUGUUCCGCCCCUCACGGGUCCAAGGUUCUCCUCCCCCAGCCCGUCCUCGAGCUCUCGCAGCCCCUCCCGGGCCGGCCCCUACGGCUUUUCCACGUGCCCCUCAACUCCGACGCCCCCUCCCCCCGGACCCCCAGUCUCCUCCGGUCUCGAGGAGUCUCGCGGCAUUUCUCGGGGCGUGAGCUGAACCUGCCGCGGGUAAGGGGGCGACCGCGCGGAGCCGGGUCUCUCCGGAGUCUCAGCCGCAGGGACGCUCCUGGCGCCAGCUCCGGCGCGGCUCGCGCCUCGCCACACUGCGGCCCUGUCCUACUGCGGCCCCGCCCCGGCCCCCGGCCGCGCGUCCUGGGCAGGCCGGAGUCUGCAGGAGAGCAUCUCGUCAGCUGGUGACUAGAGCAGAAGGGGAAAGCGGGCCGGCGCG